rnacentral:rRNA from 1 species
CAGUCGCCGCGGUAAUACGAAGGGGGCUAGCGUUGCUCGGAAUUACUGGGCGUAAAGGGCGCGUAGGCGGAUGUUUAAGUCAGAGGUGAAAGCCCAGGGCUCAACCUUGGAACUGCCUUUGAUACUGGACAUCUUGAGUGUGGGAGAGGUGAGUGGAACUCCGAGUGUAGAGGUGAAAUUCGUAGAUAUUCGGAAGAACACCAGUGGCGAAGGCGACUCACUGGCCCAUUACUGACGCUGAGGCGCGAAAGCGUGGGGAGCAAACAGGAUUAGAUACCCCUGUAGUCCCUGUCUCUUAUAC